UACGGAGGAUCCAAGCGUUAUCCGGAUUCAUUGGGUUUAAAGGGUGCGUAGGCGGCUUAUUAAGUCAGCGGUGAAAGCCCGAAGCUUAACUUCGGAACUGCCAUUGAUACUGAUGAGCUUGAGUACACUUGAAGUGGGCGGAAUGUGUCGUGUAGCGGUGAAAUGCUUAGAUAUGACACAGAACACCAAUUGCGAAGGCAGCUCACUAAAUUGUUACUGACGCUGAGGCACGAAAGCGUGGGGAUCAAACAGG
rnacentral:rRNA from 1 species